rnacentral:rRNA from 1 species
GACGAACGCUGGCGGCGUGCCUAAUACAUGCAAGUCGAACGCACAGUUUAUACCGUAGCUUGCUACACCAUAGACUGUGAGUUGCGAACGGGUGAGUAACGCGUAGGUAACCUGCCUGGUAGCGGGGGAUAACUAUUGGAAACGAUAGCUAAUACCGCAUAAUAUUAAUUAUUGCAUGAUAAUUAAUUGAAAGGUGCAAUUGCACCACUACCAGAUGGACCUGCGUUGUAUUAGCUAGUAGGUGAGGUAACGGCUCACCUAGGCGACGAUACAUAGCCGACCUGAGAGGGUGAUCGGCCACACUGGGACUGAGACACGGCCCAGACUCCUACGGGAGGCAGCAGUAGGGAAUCUUCGGCAAUGGACGAAAGUCUGACCGAGCAACGCCGCGUGAGUGAAGAAGGGUUUCGGAUCGUAAAGCUCUGUUGUAAGAGAAGAACGGGUGUGAGAGUGGAAAGUUCACACUGUGACGGUAUCUUACCAGAAAGGGACGGCUAACUACGUG